rnacentral:lncRNA from 1 species
UUAGACUAGAACGGAUGUGAAUAAUUCUACAUUAUCUUGUCAUAUGGCUUCAUCUGAUGAGAUGGUGAAUGUGUUAGAAGAAUGUCGAGUCUCUCCACCUCCCAACGCUGUGGGUGAGAAGUCUCUCCCACUCACCUUCUUUGAUUUGCUAUGGCUACAUUUCCAUCUAGUCCAAAGCCUCUUCUUUUACAAAUUCCCUCAUUCUAAGACCCACUUCAUAGAGAUCACCAUCCCUUCCCUUAAACACUCACUCUCCCUCGCUCUCAAGCACUUUUAUCCCUUUGCAGGAAAUUUACUAUUUCCUCCAAAUCUUAGAGAGCCUGAAAUUCAUUAUGUGGAUGGUGAUUCAGUUUCAUUGACCUUUGUUGAGUCUAAUAGCGAUUUUGAUUACCUUAUCAAAAACCACCAAAGGAAAAUUGCUCACUUUCAUCCUCUUGUGCCCCAAUUGCCUCCAGUGUCGGUACAACAAGGCACCAUUAUAGCACCUGUUUUUGCUGUUCAGGUAACACUUUUUCCCAACUCUGGAAUUUCUUUUGGGUUCACCUGUGACCAUGUUGUGGCAGAUGGUAAUGCUUUUAUUCGAUUCAUAAGGUUGUGGGCUACUAUUCAUAAAUUACAGAGAGAGCCCUUGAUGUUAGAGGGUGAAAUCCUUCCAUUCUAUGAUAGGACCAUGGUAAAAGACCCGAACAAGAUAGGUUCAAUUUUUUGGCAACAUCACCAGAAAAGUAAAUUUGAAGGAUAUCGACCACUGCUCCCUACCAGCAACAUCCUGGCUUCAUUUUUACUAAGUCAAGCCGAUCUUCAGCGACUCAAAAAAAGGGUUAUGGUUCAAUGCCCAACGUUGUUACAUGUCUCAAGUUUUACAGUAACAUGUGCUUACACUUGGACUUGCAUUGUCAAAGCUCAGGUUUGGAGUGGUGAGGAGGUGAGCGAGAAUGAGUUAGAGCACUUUGGUUUUGUGGCCGAUUGUCGAGCCUGUUUGGACCCGCCAUUGCCUGAAAACUAUUUCGGUAACUGUUUAGUGCCAUGUCUUCUAACUGCAAAAAGUACGCACCUAAUAGAUGAAGAUGGUUUUAUAAUUGCAGCCAAUCUUAUAGGAGAAGCAAUUCAAGAAAAGCUUGGAAGCAAGAAGGGAGUUUUGGAAGGUUUAGAUAAAUGGGUCGUGAAUUUUUCAUCUAUAAACAUAGAGCGAGCUGUAGGAGUUGCUGGGUCACCAAGGUUUUCAGUUUAUGACAUAGAUUUUGGAUUGGGACAACUACAAAAGAGAGAGUUUAUAUCAAUAGAUGAAACAAGGUCCAUAUCACUUCUUGAAGGCAAAGAUAACAAAAGCGAUAUUGAAGUUGGUUUGUCAUUCCCCAAGAUUAAAAUGGAUGCUUUUGCCUCUAUCUUCACUAAUGGCCUCUCGGUCUAUGAUUAGAAAAAGGAAGCAUGUUUCUGUGGAAACACGUUUCUUCAUAAAUUUGAUGUGAGUUGCUCUGUAAUCUGCAUUCCAAUGUGACUUACAUUUGGAAAGUUAUCAUUGUAAAUUUUUAUUUGUUUUUUUUUUUUGACUUUUUCUUCCUUGCAUUUCUUUUGCACAUUUCCACCUAACCAAAUUAAGUCUCUUUCCCAUUUUGAUAUUAUCAAAUUAUAUACUUCAAAGGAAUAAGGUGUGAGGAGGUCGGGGUGGGUAAGAGAAUGUUCCAUCUCGCCUCAUGCCAUUUAAUAUAAAUAUUUUUUUAUUUUUAAAAUUUUAAUUAUACCAAAAAUAAAUAUAAUUUAUAAAUAUUGUAGCAUUUUACAAAAAAUAUUUUUUUAUUGUAUGUGUUAAAAAGUAGGAAAUGAAAAUUACAUAUAUAUAUAUAUAUAUAUAGAAACCCUUAUCUCGUCUAUACUUCUAAAGUAGUUUUUUUAAGGACAAAAUGAGAUGGCUACAUAAAAUGGCAAGUUCCAUUAUCAUACCUUUAUGGUUUUAUUUUCCAUAUAUUCUUUAUGGUUGCAAGCUAAAUCAAAUGAGCAUUUCCUUCCACAUGCUCUUUUCUGAUUUGUGGUUGAUAGUGCAUAUGAUAUUAAUGCAUUUGGCAGAUAAUGAAUCACCUUCAUCAUUAUCUGUUUAGCUUUUCCCAAUGUACUAAUAAUACUAGGUUCUUAGUUUUCACCUUUCAAUAAUAAUUAAUCUCAAAGCACAAUAUAUAUAUAUAGGACAUUAUAUAUGUAUCCUAUUUUGUAUUUCUACUCCAUCUUAGAGAGCCUAAAAUUUAAUGGAUAUUGAAACCUUAAAAUGUUGGGAGGUAUUAGGUCAUCAAGAUUUGGGAUUUACUAUAUAGGUUUUGGGCAGGGAUGCCUAAGAAAAUUGAAGUCAUAUAUAAAAGUGCAUGGUUUUAUAUCAUUUCAUGAGUGUAAAGAAGAUUUUGAGAUUGGUUUGUCCAUUCUAAUGCUUUUAGAACUAGACUAAUAAUUGAAUCGAAAAAAUUAUCGAUUCACAGUUCAAUAAUCGAACGAUGGUUGAACCAUGGUCGAACCUAUGAUAUUAUAAAUACAUAACUUAUAUUUUAUAUAAAAUUUAAAAUAAUUAUAAAAAUUAGUAAUAUAUAAUUAAAAAACUUAAUAAUAUUUAAUUUUUUAUAUUCGAUAUUUUCAAAGAAUAAUAAUAAGGAUAAAUCUAAAUACGUUAAUAUUUUUCAUUUUAUUAAAUAAAUAUGUGUAAUGUGUAAAUGUGAAGAAGAUAUGUUUAAGAUAGAAGGAAAAUGAUAAUAUUUAAUUUUAUCUUUGUCAAACAUUAUAUAUUUUAUUAUUUUAUUCUUUUUAUGUGAUUAUGUCUAUUUAAAUAUUUAAAAAAAAAAAGGAAGUUUCAAAAAAUUAUCUUUGUGCAUUUAAAUAUUUUUAUGUGAUUAUGUCUAUUUUAUCUCUGUACAACAACAGUAAGUUAAAAUGUUUCAUAGCAUAAUGGAAUAACCGCAUUUUUACCGCCAAGUCCUUUCCCACCACAAAAUUCAUCCAUUUUCCACAAUUAUAAGUCAUCCCAUCGUCCCAGCUUGGUGACUGGGCCUUGUUUGGGUGAGUGGGAUAUAAACAUCAUUGCCAUGGCAAGCCCAUUCUAAUUUUGGGCCAAGUGUAGAGUUAACCGGUUUUGUAAGAACCGAUCCAUCUAUCUGGUUCAAUGAUUGAAUCGUCAAUUUAAACUGUUCAAAAUCGGUCCAAUUUAUAAGCGGCUCAAGUGAGUGGACCAAACCAGAAAUGCUCCAGAUCAACGAUUCAAUCGUCGAAUCAGACGAAUUGGUUCAGUUUUUAAAACAACGGUUCCUCCCAAAGAUUAAGAUGGAUGUCUUCAACAAUCUUUUCCAACUACUAACCAAGACAUUUGAAAUUAAAGGAAGAAUGAAAAAAUGAAUAGGUAAAGAAAUAAUACUAAAGACUAUUUUGUUUACUUUCACAAUAAUAUUUUGAAAAUUGGACCGGACUUGUUGGUUAGACUGGUAGGCUUUUCGAUCUGGUCCCUUUUUUUGAAUCAUUUGGCUAUUGAAUCGACUAUGAACCACUUGAACCGACAGUUGGAUUAGCAGACCGACUAAACGGGAUGGUUCAUUAAGAAUCGAACGGUUCAAUGCCUCAUCUUUUCUUAAUCCAAACAAGCCCAAUUCCAACCUAUAUUGCCUCACUUUUUCUUCAUCCAAAUAGGCCCAAGUCAAAAGCCCAAAUAAGGUUGCUAUUUGGUGGGUUGUUCCUUAAUUCCAAACACUACAACAGAUGCUAGAUGAGACGGGGAACCACUCAACCAUGUACAUCUUUAUGCAUAAUAAGCAGACAAAAGAAAUACAUUCUCAUUUAAGAAAAUUUAUAAUAUCAAAUAAAAAUAAUAUAAUUGUUUUAAAUUAUAAAAUUAGUUAAAAUUAAUUUUUCUUCCAUUUUUAAUAUAUUCAUAUUUAAAUAUUAUAUAUAUAUUUCAUUUAAUAAAAAUUUAAAAUAUUAAUAUUUUUAUACCUAUAUAUGAUUUAAUUUGAUAGUAUCAAAGUUAAAAAAUAGAUAUUAUUGAUUUUUAAUUUAUAUAUAUAUAUAUAUAUAUAUAUAUAUAUAUAUAUAUAUAAUUUUUAUAAUUUUAAUAAUAUAUAAAUUACAUAUUUAUGAUAUCACCGAUUUGACCGUAGUUCAACCACUACUUCUACUGGUAAACCAUGAAUCUCUAACUUUUUUAAUUCAAUAAUUGGUCCAGUGCAUAAAACAUUGUUUAACAACACGCAAUUUUGUUAUUGCUUAGUUGUUUAUAGAAAAAUUUAAGGAAAGAAAAUUCAAUAGGAAUUCACUUUUUCAAAACUUUCUCAAUCCUUUUCAAGACAAAUGGGAAUGAAAUCUUUUAAUAUUUUCUCUUCUCUUUUUUAUAAUUUUUUUUUAUCAUUAUGAUAUUUAAAUAUGGAAAAAAAAAAUCAUUUUCUUGGGUUUUUUUAUUUUUUAUUUUUCAUCCUAUAGCACUUUCUGAAAAGCACACUUACCUUUUUAAGUGAAAAAAACAAAAAGGAAAUCUAUCAUUUUCUUAAUUGAUUUUUGAUUAACUUUAUCUACCAUUCCAUGGAUGCCUCACUAUAUACAAUAUAUAGACUAGGAUAGAUGAGGAUAGUUCUGCAUGUCAUCUAAGAUGGUGAAUGUGUUAGAAGAAUGUCAAGUCUCUCCAUCUCCCAACGCUGUGGGUGAGAAGUCUCUCCCACUCACCUUCUUUGAUUUGCUAUGGCUACAUUUUCAUAUAGUCCAAAGCCUCUUCUUUUACAAAUUCCCUCAGUCUAAGACCCACUUCAUAGAGACCACCAUCCCUUCCCUUAAACACUCACUCUCCCUCGCUCUCAAGCACUUUUAUCCCUUUGCAGGAAAUUUACUAUUUCCUCCAAAUCUUGGAGAAC